rnacentral:rRNA from 1 species
CCUACGGGAGGCAGCAGUGAGGAAUAUUGGACAAUGGGCUUAAGCCUGAUCCAGCGAAGUCGCGUGAGGGAAGACUGCCCUAUGGGUUGUACACCUCUUUUGUCAGGGAGCAAUUGGCGCUACGUGUAGCGUUAUCGCGAGUCCCUGAAGAAACAGCAUGGGCAAACUCCGUGCCAGCAGCAGCGGUAAUACGGAGGUUGCGAGCGUUAUCCGAUUUUAUUGGGUUUAACGGGUGCGUAGGCGGAAUGCCAAGUCAGCGGUAAAAGCGCGGGGCUCAACCUCGCUCCGCCGUUGAAACUGGCGGGCUUGAGUGGACGAGAAGUAUGCGGAAUGCGUGGUGUAGCGGUGAAAUGCGUAGAUAUCACGAAGAACUCC